CCCGUAAAGAUGGCUGGGCAUUGGGAGUUAAUGUGCCUGUUUCACACACCUGUGCGGGGAGACAAUGGAGCCGUACAGGGGCAAUGGCCAUAAACUGAAACACAGGAAGUUUCACCUCAACAAGAGGGAGAAGUUCUUUACGUUGAGGGUGUCAGAGCACUGGGACAGGGUGCCCACGGAGGUCUUGGAGUCUCCCUCUCCGGAGACAUUCCAAACCCUCCAGGACAUGUUCCUGUGUCACCUGCUCCGGGUGACCCUGCUUUGGCAGGGAGGUUGGACAAGGUGAUCUCCAGAUGUCCCUUCCAACCCUAAAAAUUCUGACGUUCUGUGAAACCAGUCCACCCUAUCAAAGUUUUGUCCCGAAACGUGUGCCAGCUGAGUGGAUCUUCCCUAUGGUCUCCUCGGCAGCUGUUUGUGUACCAUUGCUUUCUCCACAGAAAAUUACUGGCUAUUCCAAAGGAUUUAAAGAGCCUUCAGGUAAACACCUCUGUGAGUUUGUCUGGGAGACAUCCACGUGUGUGACAUGUUCAUCCUCCCCCUCCUGUCCCCAGAUCACUCCAUGCAAGUGGCAGCAUCAGUCCAGGCUACCAGGAGGGAUCAGGCGUCUCAAGCUCAUGGAGUCCCUCCUGGUUCACAAGCUCUCCUUUUCUCACAAAUUCACUGUAGCAAUACUCAGCCUUUAAUGCAGCAGUCAAAGCCACCAAGGUGACACAGCACAGGUGCCAUGUCUCCGUACAGGGGAUGUGGUUUUAGCCAGGACAGCCAGCUCGAUGCCACACCAUAUGAUGUUGGUCCCAGCCCCCUCUGUCACCUAAACAUCUGAUUUAUUCCUCCCUGAAGUUUCAGAUUCUCACGAUCUUCAGGUGAACAGCUCUAACCAUACCUGACCUGCUUCAUCUCUACCUUUAAGCAGACUGAAACACGCUCAAGAUAUUUAAAAAGAGUAACAAUUUUAGUACAUGAAGUGGCUUUGCCACAGAGCAGAAAAGCAAAUACCAAAAGUCCACAGAACAGACCAACCCUGGAAGAGCAGAGACCUUCCUCCUUGCUCACUUCCAAGACUUGGGGCAGGGGGGCUGGGUGGAAGCUCAUGGGGAGAACAAGGGGCACUUACAGACAGCUGCAGACAACACUUGUCCUCUCAGUUUUGCUCUGUGGGAAAACCAUGAACCUCUGUGCUGGAAAAAAAAAAAAAUCAUUGCUUCUAGAACUGGUGCAAAGUCACCUCCUUUCCUUUGUGGUUAAGGUUGGUGACUCAGAUGCAAAAAAGAGCAAUACUUGAUUGAGAAAACAGAAAUUUCAAAAAAUUGUAUUGAUACUGGAUGGUCUUUUUGAACAUUUCUGCUCUUGAGGUCUGUUACAUGACUGUUUAUGUCUUGCAGGAGAGUGGUUUCACAAAGCCAAAAGGUCCCUUUACCUCAGAAAAAUCAAUUUUGACGACUCUGAGAGAAAUCUGAGCUCCAAAAGGGGAGAAAGAAAAAAGGAGGGAAAAGCAUUCUGUGGAAAGGACAAGAUGAGAAAUGAAAGUGCUGAAACAUAAAUUAGUAUAUUCUCAUGGGUUAUGCAAACCAUCUGGCUUUAAAAGCUAGUAGUGGGAACAAGGAAAAAGGUCAUCAGAAUUAGCAGAGAUCUGCAAAACAACUGAAGGUAGAAGUGCAUGUUUCAUCCAAGGAUCACGGAGCUAUUUGUCAGUUUAUCCAAGUAUAAAAGAAGAGCCUGAACAAAAGGUCAGUUCCAGCUAUGCUAAACACACUCUACCUGCACAGACAAACAAGCCCUUAGAGAUAAAAAACAACAUUAAAAUUACCUUCUUCAUUUUCUUUCUUCCUCUCAUCCCCCUGUCCCCUCCACUCCCCCCUCCCCAAAUCAAAACUUCUGAGCACAUUAAUUGCAGAUCAUUUGUCCUGCUAAUGGGCCCAAAGUCCACAGGGAACAGUUUCAGGCAGUUUAUCUCAGAUUCAGUAACCUAGAUAUCUUGGCAGAGCUUUAAGAUGUACUGGGGGGUUAAAGGUGAAAGAAGAGGGAAAGACAGAGAGGCUUGUGGUGUAUCUGUGCCCAGAAAAGACAGAAUUUAUACUUUUUUAUUAUUUCCAUUGCUUGAGAGGAUGAAGGUAAAAUAUUCAAAGCCUGCAGAUGUAUCUACAGACACCGAGGGAGGUUUUGAAGGCUCUGAUGCACGUGUAACAUUCACCACACCUUUCUGAGGGCAGCUUGAGCAGCAGUGAUCCAUCUGCACCUUGUGUGUCAUUUGAGGACUUCUUUCACAAGACUGUGAAAAAUGAGGCCACAAAACCCAUCUCUAGAGCCACAUCUUGGGGUGCCAUGGUUACAAGAGGAGCAGCACCAAUUGGCACUUUGCAGGUUGCUGGUGUGAGCAGUCAUAAACUCUGCUCAGGCAGCUGACAUGCACUGGGCACUCUUCAGGGUGAUCUUGCAGAGACACUCAAACAGUGACUGCAGAACUGUUCACACAUUCAUAUCCUGGCAUAUUGUAGUUACAUUUAUUCACUAUUGAUAAUGGACAGCUUAAGGUCAUAAGAUAUAUUAUAUUCAAAUUAUGUGAGGGGGGUAUUUCAACUGUAUUGCAGAUGCUGUAAUAGUCCUUGGUAUUAAAAACUAUCAAGAAAGUUUAAUAGAAAUUUUGUACUAUCCACUUAACCAGCAGCUUCUUUUACUCAUGUAUGUUGAAAAAAUACAGGUGUGGUUAUAUAGCUUUGUGUAUUUGAUCCUUUCAGUAUGAGGAAAUGUAUAACUUACUCCAUGUAAACAUUUUUUAAAAUAUAGAAUUUAAAUAGUUAAUAUUUUAAAGCAAUUAAGAAGGAAAGACUUUACUCUGCAAUAGUUAUAAAAAAUAUGUCUAAAAAGACAUCCAGUGCCUGAGACAAAGAGAGUGUUUAAAGCAUGAGAAGCUCUACAGAAGAAGCCUGGAUUACUGAGAUCUAAAGUCACACCACUCUCUCCACAGCAGUACAAACACUCAAAUUUCAUUUUGGUGUUUGUAUUCUGAAUUCAGGGACAAAGUUUUAGAUCAAAGGAAUAGAAAGUUCCUAAAGGGAAAAGUCUUUAACUGGUGUAAAUGUAUAGUCCAAGGUCAUAUCAGCAGUGAUUAUGGUCUUUUAAAAUUGUUGAAUAAUUCAUAGUGUAACUAAAAGUAUUUGAGAGGAAUUUGGCAUUUGAUACAGAAAUUGCCGAUUUUCAGUAUUUUUUAUUUAAUGUCUAUAAAAUUAGAAGAGCCUUAGAAUUUUUUAUGAAUUCAUACUGAAUAGAGUUUAGCAUGAAAAUAAAUAUUUGCAGGGUCUAGAAGAUAUCAGACUGCUUGAUGGAAGAUGGUGGUAUGACUAACUUUAUGAAUAUCACAGCAAUUCUGUUAUAUCUAAGAAUGGUGUUGUCUGGCUGUUCUCAGCUAUUUUAAAGCUUUUUUCCUUGUUUCCAAAAUUUAAUUAGAAAAUGCCUUUGCUCUGGUGCACACUAAAAGUUUUACUCUAGAUAUUUCAGCAUUCACUGAAGAACAAGAGUUCAAUACAGAGCCAGAAGGAAAAAUCCUAGAGAACCGUGCAAGUGCAUGACUGGUGAAGUUUAAAAAGGGAAAAAAAAAAAGUUGGUUUUAGUUAUGACUGCUAAGAUGUGAGCCUCUCUUUUAUUCCCUGUGCUGUAACUGAAUGAUAAUGGUUUUUAUGUGUUUCUGGAAAGGAGCCUAAAAUGGAACGUUCAAGGCCUAAGAGAUGAAAUGCAGCUAGAGAAAAUUACCAGUGAGAAUAGCAGGAGAUGUGACUUACAUUAACUGAAGACCUAAACAUCUUUGUAUAUGAGUGCUCAGGGCUGACUUCCAAGGCUGUAAGAAGCCUCGGUAACAGACCAGCCACUUCAGUGUGCAUGUGUGAGGAAAAUUUCCAUAAUCUCUCCUGCUGGUUUGCUAGGGAUGCUGGAGAGAGCAGCUUCUGCUAAUGUAGGCAUUUGCAGGUCUGGAUUGAACCCAAAUUCAUUUAAAACUCAUCUAAAAUUCUAGCUGACUUGUUCAAAUACCACUGAUGGUGAUACCUACAGGAAACAGGUUGCUGAAGCUGCAUUUGGUGUGAAGCUGUUGGAAGAGAAAGCAAAGGUGAAGCAAGUAACAAGGUGUGGACGUCCAGAACCUGUGAAGAUCAGACCCCUGGUGAUGAAUCCAACUCUGAGGCCAUUCUGACAUCUUUAUAUCUGGUGUCAAGCUAUAAAAGGGAAUUUGGGCUUCCCGGGAGAGGGAUGGCCCCUGUGAGAACAAGCACGGUGACUGAGGUGCUCUGGAGCUGGUCCCUUUUCACUGAGAAGGGCUGCAUGUAUUUCCUGCUAAUACCCACUGUCACCUCAGUCCAGCACAGGCUGAACUGGGACUUACCUGUUUUGUAGUCUCUGGAGACAGAUUUUAAGACAAAACCACAUGAAUUUCUGCUGAUUUUCAUGGGCAUUUAGAGGCCUCAGCACAGCUUAAAAACUUGCUGUCUGAGCACACCAUGAUGGGAUGUCCAAGUGAAAGGAUUAGACAAUUGUAAUGUUUUUUGAUAAUAGGUUCUUAUUCUUCAAAACCGUCUUGAAAGCCCUUAGGUAUGCAAUGAAUAAUUAGAUUUGGUUACAAUUGAUCAAAAUUUAUUUGAAAUGUCAAUAGGGAGCCAAUUUUUAAAAUUAAUUAGGUUCUUUAAAUGGGAGGGAGUUCAAAAUCAGUUUUAAAAUUCUGUUUCCAUCCAGCUUUGUUAAUCUGUAAGACUUGAUACUUGGUGAAUGGAUUCUACAAGUAACUAAUCCCCUGGGAUACCCACUCCUCUUGUACUCAAUUAAAGGAUGAAUGAGAUUACUGCACUUUGUCAUUCUGAAAUAAUUGGCCCAUAGUUGAUUGAAGCUUCUGGGGAGGCUGCUCUGGUUAUGUGUCCCCCACUUGCUGUUCCUGACUCAGAUCCUGGAGCCUGGCUCCAGUGCUGAGCACCCCCAGCUGGAGAUGGGUGCCUCGAGGCAACAAGUGUUAUAAUCUGACAAACAUGGAAAAAAUCCAUGGAAAUUUUUUACCUAAGUGUCACUGUGCAUUUUUAAGAUGGUGAUAAGUAAACCUCCAGGGAGCUGGAGAGAGGCAUGAAUCACUGUGAAAUUCUGGGACUGCAGCAGUGCAAAGGUAAUGUCACUGCAGGAGCUGGGUGUGCACAGCAGGCAGCAGGCUCAGCGUGGAGCUGUGUGCUGAGCCAUGAGGGGAUAAAAGCACUGACCAUUUGCUGUGUCAUCAACAGCAAGGGGUUUGCAUGAUCCACAGAGCAGGUACAGGGACAGUUUGUGUAGAAUGAGUAACUUCUAAUGUGAUUGAAGAUAUGUCACUUGACACAUAAUUACAGGAGAUUUAAGCUGUGCACAUCUUCAUUUUCAUAUCACUUUUGAGUGUCUGACUUUUCAUCUCAAAUAACACUCUUAAACCACAUCUUUAUGUGUUUCAAAGAAUCAUAGACUCUUUAAGGUUGGAAAAGACCUCCAAGAUCAUUGAAUCCAACUGUUAACCCAGCAACCCUCUGUUUGCCAAAAAACCAUAUCCCCACGUGACACAUCCACACAUCUUUUGAACACUUUCAGGGGUGGUGAUUUCAUCCCUUCCCUGGGCAGCCUAUGCUAAUGUGUAACCACCCUUUCAGUGAAGAAAUUGAUCCUAAUAUCCAAUCUAAACUUCACCUGGCACACCUUGAGGCCAUUCCUCUCAUCCUGAAAACCUACCAGGGAGGAUCUGAUUUCACAACGCACAAAGUGCACAUUCUUGCAUUUUUCAGCCCCUGGCUGGGCUGGUGAGAGGAAGUGUGGGACAGCAAACUGUCACAAAGCCACCCGUGCUCCCCUCCGUUAUUUUCUGUCUCACUUUGGCUGCCUGUUACUGGAGACAAUCUGCCGUGGGGGUAAGCUCAUCCUCGAUGUUCUAUCCAGGAAACAUUGUCCUGCUUACUGUAAAACACAGAAGCAAACCUGGUGGUUGCCCAGAGGUUAGAAUAUUUGCUAUAGCUGCUGUGUGUCUAUAAGCUUGAGUAUCCUUGGGGAUAUUUUCUUCCUUGUACACUGUAAAGGAAAUAUAGAAUUGACCAGUAUGUUUGAUAGCAACUCAGAAUGGAGCAGGAGCAACUGAGCUCAGAUCCUUUUCACUGCAGUUUUACAACGUUUCUUGACAUGGGUUAUUCUGAAUAGCUAAAAAGGAAUAAAAAAUAAAGUAAGCACAUAAUUUCCAGUUUAAAAUAUUAGAAAGUCUUGCUGAAAGCAUUCUGAUUUCUCAGAGUACAAGACUGCUUGGGGCUAUGAUGCAUUUCUUUUAAAGGAAGGUCACUUUUUGAGGGUAUGCUGUGAUCAGGAGAAAAAAAAAGGGAAAGUUCAUGGUAAUGACAGCUGGGGAGAGAAACAUUGUUUAGACUACACUGAAAUUACAUUAUGUGUCUCUGCAAGUACAAGAUUAUGUUGACAACAAUCAUGGGUUUUGGAGAAAGUAUUAAAAGUUGAAUAAUAGAAAAGACAA